rnacentral:rRNA from 1 species
CCUACGGGAGGCAGCAGUGAGGAAUAUUGGUCAAUGGGCUUACGCCUGAACCAGCCAAGUCGCGUGAGGGAAGACUGCCCUAUGGGUUGUAAACCUCUUUUGUCAGGGAGCAAUUGGCGCUACGUGUAGCGUUAUCGAGAGUACCUGAAGAAAAAGCAUCGGCUAACUCCGUGCCAGCAGCCGCGGUAAUACGGAGGAUGCGAGCGUUAUCCGGAUUUAUUGGGUUUAAAGGGUGCGCAGGCGGAAUGUCAAGUCAGCGGUAAAAUUUCGGGGCUCAACCCCGUCGUGCCGUUGAAACUGGCGGUCUUGAGUGAGCGAGAAGUAUGCGGAAUGCGUGGUGUAGCGGUGAAAUGCAUAGAUAUCACGCAGAACUCCGAUUGCGAAGGCAGCAUACCGGCGCGCAACUGACGCUCAUGCACGAAAGCGUGGGUAUCGAACAGGAUUAGAUACCCCUGUAGUC